rnacentral:lncRNA from 1 species
AUGGCUGCGUUGCAUCAUCCUCAUGAUUGCUGGGGAACAUCUCCUAGCAUUCGAACGAUUGGAGGGAAGACCAUGGGGCACAAAGUGGCCUCAUCCGGUUUACAUCUUCAUUACUGCGCUUCUCACAUACCUGCUUACAUCUGGAAAAAAUCUCCAGGUUGGAAAAAGAAACAUGAAGAGUGUCUGCUAUUGUCAUUCAUUGCUGCGAUCCCUCAGGGUUCUGGAAUUGUUUGCUUCCUGAAGAGUGUGCUGCUUACUGACGCAGGCCGUCCAGAUGCCCAAGGGGAGUGUCUCCGGGUUGCAGAUGUGCUCUAAGCACCUUCCCUGGAAAUCACAGAACUUCAGACCCCCUAAGGAAGGCGAAAAGCUCCCUGAGGAAUCGUGGUGGGGUUCUGGAAACCUGAAGGCCUGCGGCCACAGGCAGUGCUGCUUAGGUGAACUCUCCUCGCAGGAGCUGAAGGCCCGGACUCCAUGGUCUUCUGGGCCUUUCCUCACAGGAGUGGUUGGGUAUGUGGAGUGAAGGGGUGAGGAGGGAAGUGGAGGUGGGGGACGUGAGGGGCUGGUGUUGAGGGCUUGCCCUUUCUGGGCCUUUCCCUCUCUUGCCUUCCCCUUGGUGCUGGUCCCGCCCCCGGGUGCCGGCUGAAGGGGCAGGGCUCCCAGCUAGGGCCCACCCAUGGGCGGCUCAAGGGCCGGGGAAGGGAUGGAGGCCUGGGACACUAGCAAUGGGAGAGAAGGGGAAGUUCCUUCUAGAUCUGAGCGGGGGAGAGAGCGGGGACUUGUGCUAACUGCAGGUGUUCCAUGGGGGACGUGGAGGACGGGGAAUGGGAGUGUCAGGCCCUGCCUGCAAAUGACAGGGUGAGAACUGGAAGAGGAUGGCGAUGAGGAAAAGGAAGGCCACGACGGCCGACGUUGGUUGGGUUUCCUGGGUGCAGGGCGGUGCGACAGAUGAGAGGACUGUCAUCCUGUCCCCCUCCUCAUGGCUCUGGCCAGUGGGCAUUGCCGUUGUCUGAAGAUGAGAGAGUUGGGACUCAGGGGUCCGAGCCAGCUCGCCCAAGGCCAUGGCCAGCGGGGCCAGGGGAGAGCGCCCCUUGCCUGGCCUCCCUCCGACAGCCACCACAGCCCCUCACGCAGCACCCCCCCCCCCCCCCGGAAGGCAGGGGCAUCCAAACCUGACGACACCGCCCCUUAUUUCCAUGAGCUUACAGUCCAGUGAUGUUUCCAGAAGACCUCCUUUCCGCUUCUUCACUGCGUCGAGUCCAUCCCAUCUGACACCAGAGGCCUGUCCAGGAGGCCUGUCCCGGCCUGACUUUCCUGAGAGCAGGGCCAAGACAAAGGCGUGAACCCAGGAGGCUGCCGCCUGCCCUUCACGGCAAGUCUGGGUCUGGUUUCCUGUGAAUGUAGAGCUUUGAAUUCAGUCUACGGAUGUCUAAGCUUCUGUGGGACGGUGGGGUCCCCCUGGGUGCCCGGGGCAGGUUUUGCCCUCCUGCUUCCCCUUAGCACCCAGGCCAGGGCUCACAUCUCGCUUGGCCUAUAACUUUUUUCUUUUUUUAAGAUUUUAUUUUAUUUAUCUGACAGAGAGAGAGAGAGAGAGCAAGAGAGGCCCCAAGCAGGGGAGCAGCAGAGGGAGGGGGACAAGGAGGCUCCCCACUGAGCAGAGCCCCAGCAAGCGAGCGCGGACUCCAUCCUAGGGCCCCGGGAUCACGACCUGAGCUGAAGGCAGAUACUUAACCGACUGAGCCCCUCCAGGCGCCCCAACAUAUGACUUUCCUUCUUUGAACAUCCCCCCAAAGAAUUCCACAGCCGCAUCUAACCCUCACCGCUAACUCUGUCCCUGACAUGAUGCUCAUCUUUCCAGGCCGUAGCAGGUGCCCCUCCACCUGUUGCCCCUUCCCAAGCUCCUGCACCUGGAUGGUUUUGCAGAGGGAGGAAGCUCAACACCGGUCACCAUUCCUCUGUCUUAAGGGUUGGGCUGGUCGCCCCCCAGCGGCCCCCCAUUUGCUUUCCCUGGCAUUUCCAGCUGCCUUGGAAGCUUGACCACUCACCCCAUUGAACUGCAGGGUCAUUGCAUUCUCCAGCUCUGGGGGCUGUGUUCUGAUUUCAUCUCGCUUUGGGACCAGGAUGCCCAAGCCUUAUUUAUUUAUUUUUUUUCUGACUUGAGACACUUUUUGUUUGUUUACCACUCACGUCAGUGGGUAUCUGGAAUGCUGUGGCUUUAACUUCCCAACCUGGUUACCUGUAGCCAGGGUACUCUGACCUUGGGCCUCAUAGGGCCUGGGGGGUGCGGUGCAGGUCCUGGGAGAAGAGCCCCAGGACAGAGGUGACCUGGUCGUUGGUUAUGAGCUCAGGUCUCUGCCUCAGGGCUGGGCAAGACCCGGGAGCCCGGGAGAUGCCUGCCGGCCUCCUCAUCACCGCCACCCCAGAUGCAAGGGAAAGUCUCUGGGAAUUCCCUGGGAUCUGUGCUCUGCCCGAGACUUUUCCAAGAGACAUUAUCUCAGCACAUUCCACUUUAAUAAAGAACAUUUAAGAAGACGGCAUCUGGGCAGCACGUGCAGCCUGCAGAACUGGUAGAGGUAAAAAGAAUUCUUUCUGCCUGUGGUAAAUCCGCAACCGCCGGGCCAACAGGCCUUUGUUUCCACUAACCCUUCCCAGCCUGUGCCAGGGGCCGAAGUGGGGCCCUCAGGACCCCGUCUCUGCACUGGUUCACAGGAGCAGCUGCUGGGCUGCGGCAGGCUUGUCCCACAGAGGGCUUCUCAUCCAUGCACUGGUCACCCACCAGGGGUGACGGUGCCAGGAGUGUCGUCUAUGCUGGCCCAAGGGUGACUCUCCUCCGGGCGUGGGACAUGGCAUUGCUGUGUCAGCAGUACCCAUGCUUUUCUCUGUAUUCUAUAGCUCUUGUCACAUGAGGACAUGGUCACCUUCCAAGAUCUCCCUAGAACUUUGGAACAAACCUUAACCCGUAAAAACAAGCUCUUUGUCACUAAACCUGCUACCUCUCGGCUCUUCUAUUUGGACAAGGCAUAUUAUUAUUCCCCUGCCCCUGCCCCCUCACCAGAGCAAGGGUGAUAACCAUCCUCUCUGUUUGAUGAAGUGCAUCAUGACCUAUUCGAGCUGCAGAGAAAAUCCCUUCCUUACUGGGAAGCAUGCAUCCUGGUCUGACAGCUCAGACACACAUGUUGUCCUUUUUUUUUUUUUUUUUUUCAGUCUUUAUGUCUUGGUUUGCUUAUCUGUAAAAUGGGAAUAAAUAAUAGAAUGUACCUCCUAGGGUAUUUGUGGUGAUUCUAAGUCUCUGACUUCAUCUGAGGUUUUCUUUGUUUUUCCUCAUUACGAAGUAAGAGGCUGGACCCAGUGAUUCCUUUACGAGAUCUUUUUUUCUGCUCUAAAUGCCAGGGCUGCUCCUCUGAAUAGUGUCGGCCAGGGUAAUACCUGGCUUACUCAGACUUCCUUUCCCCUUGGAGACACAGAACAGGCUUCCAGCCGUGGUACGACUCUAGUGCACGCAUUGUCCCUUUAUUUAUUUUUUUUAUUUUUUAAAGACUUUAUUUGUUUAUUCAUGAGAGACACACAGAGAGAGAGAGAGAGAGGCAGAGGGAGAAGCAGGCUCCAUGCAGGGAGCCCGACGUGGGACUUGAUCCGGGGUCUCCAGGAUCAGGCCCUGGGCUGCAGGCAGGCUCUAAACCGCUGAGCCACCCGGGCUGCCCACAUUGUCCCUUUAUGAUGCUUCAUCCAGCUGACAACUAGCUAAUACCGGACAGUUGAACUUCUUAAGCCUUGCAAUCUAUGUCCAGGGUGUUGUUUUUUAAAUGAACUCCAAUCGUGUAAUAACUGCACCGAGUGUGCGCUAUAUACCCGGUGUUCUUCUAAGCCUUCAGAUGUAAAAGACUUUUGAUUCAAUCACCACAAAUACCCUGGGAGGUACAUUCGGUUGUUCAUUCCCAUUUUGCAGAUAAGCAAACCAAGACAUAAAGCCGAUUAGAUAGCUUGCCAGAGGUCAUCUAACCACAGGGUAGGGCUGGGCUUCACUGCAUGCGGUCUAACAUCCGAGUCUGUGCCCUAUCGCAGGCUAAAGCUGCAUCCCUGCCAACCGGGUUGGGUUGGGUUUCGUCUCCCUAAUUAUUUUAAGAUCUGUUUUCAGACACAGUUCACAAAUGCAUUUCCCAAAUGUUAGAGGCUACAACGUCCGUGUAUGUCUUCCUGACAUCAUUUGGCUCCGCAGGUAUGCAAAUCUAUGUAACAGCAGACUAUACACCGGAGCCCAGAGCGAACCAGCGGACAUCUGAGACUGCCGGGGCGAGCCCUAGAAGGGGAUGAUCACCGCGGCGGUGGAUAGUGAUUUGGAAAGCUGACUCAGGUCACGGAGGAUGCGGGCUUGGCCCUGAGCGCCUGAUCCAGGCCUCCAAAAGACAACU